UAACAACCAUUGUAGCGAGCAGUUUGAGAUGCACUGACACACGAAAACGGCUGUGAACAAAGAGCAAUAUAAAUUAACACUAACGAUUGCACUAUUUACAAAUGUAGCAACAAAAACAAAUUUAAAAUUACUCGGUGGAAUAAAUUAAAAUUAGCCAACACGCAAUUAAACACUGAUAUCUGCAAAAACAAUUGAUGCACCACUGCUCUUUAUUCCAUUUGUCCGUUAUUAAACAAGUCACUACAUCUAUUGAAUAUGGAUACAGAUGAAGAUGAAAUCUUUGAUAAUUUGCAAUAUGCGAAAAUAUAUCCAAUAUGUCUGCAGAACCAACACCAACGCCAGAUAAAAAGAGAAAGCGUUUUCAAGUUACAACGGCAUGGUCCUCGGAAGAUGUUUUUAAUUAAAUAGAAAUAAUAGAAAAACAUCCUUGUCUGUGGGAAUAUUCUUCAUCAAACUAUAAAAACCGACAGAAGAGAGAGAACGCAUGGAGAGAAGUUGCAGCGAACUGUCAUGGCCGUAGCGUUGAU